rnacentral:rRNA from 1 species
CUUUCAACAACGGAUCUCUUGGUUCUGGCAUCGAUGAAGAACGCAGCGAAAUGCGAUAAGUAAUGCGAAUUGCAGAAUUCCGUGAGUCAUCGAAUCUUUGAACGCACAUUGCGCCCUUUGGUAUUCCAAAGGGCAUGCCUGUUCGAGCGUCAUUAUCAAC